rnacentral:snoRNA from 14 species
UGGAUCAAUGAUGAGAAUGUGCACUGAACUAAAGAUGAUGAUUUAUCCAAUUUUGUGCACCUGAGUUCCAAU